rnacentral:rRNA from 1 species
GACGAACGCUGGCGGCGUGCUUAACACAUGCAAGUCGUACGGUAAGGCCCUUUCGGGGGUACACGAGUGGCGAACGGGUGAGUAACACGUGCGUAACCUGCCCACAACUUUGGGAUAACGCUAGGAAACUGGUGCUAAUACUGGAUAUGUGCUCCUGCUGCAUGGUGGGGGUUGGAAAGCUCCGGCGGUUGUGGAUGGACUCGCGGCCUAUCAGCUUGUUGGUGGGGUAGUGGCCUACCAAGGCGGCGACGGGUAGCCGGCCUGAGAGGGUGACCGGCCACAUUGGGACUGAGAUAAGGCCCAGACUCCUACGGGAGGCAGCAGUGGGGAAUAUUGCACAAUGGGCGCAAGCCUGAUGCAGCAACGCCGCGGGCGGGAUGACGGCCUUCGGGUUGUAAACCGCUUUCAGCAGGGACGAAGCUUUUUGUGACGGUACCUGCAGAAGAAGCACCGGCUAACUACGUG